CCAGGACAUCAGUUGAUUAUUUACUAUGUAGUCCGCCCCUGGCGCGUGUGCUCACACAUGUUUAAAGUAUUUUCUCCUGUCGCUCCUUUCCUCCGCGAUCCGUCUUCAUUCGUUUCUGUGUGCAUGUGCAGUGCGGAAGUGUCGCUUUUUACGCUUGUUUACGAACGCCGAAAUUAAAACACUAGAUAUUAUGGGGAAAACAAAGGGAAAAAGCCGGUCUUCUUCUCGAGAACGCCAUGUUUCACGAAAGGAGCGUUUGAGAAGGCUAGAGAGACUUGAGAAAGAGAGGGCAACAUCACGAGCGAGGUCGCGAUCGCCACGGCGUCAGCGGCGUUCCCCCUCUCAGUCAUCCGGUCGCGCGCGCUCGUUCAGCGGGCGCGUGGGCCGUACUGGCCCAAUAGCCAACACCCUCGGUGGAUUCAAGGUCAAGCAGUCGUCAUCAUCGACGGUCUGGUUCUGGUUAUGACGAUCGCAGUCCGCGCGGCUCGGCGUCUUAUUAUGGUACACCAGAUAGGCGGCGAUUGCCUAGCGUAGACCAUAGUCUGUACGGCGUGGCUACCAAUGCAAUGGAUGUGGAUCGCGGUCCGGGCGGCGCGACAAACAUUCUGAAUGAUAAGAAUAAUUUAAACGAUCAAACGGCUGGCACCCCUCCGUUAAUUAUUCAUAACGACGUCUCCUUGCCGACUGAAGUUAGACCUACUCGGUGAGGAUCCGGAUAAAACUAAGGCUAAUGGGUACACUUUGCACCAGGCCCUUACAGCUAGGUGGUCAAAAAUCUUAACAUCCGGCCUAUCUAAGGAGAAAAAGGAACAAUUGAUGAAUACUAGCUGCGUCCCAGAAAACUGUAAGGCCUUGAUACCUCCCUUGGUCGACAAGGAAAUUUUACCUUGUCUUUCGGCGGCUUAUAUAAAAAGGGAUUCAUGUCAUGCUGAUUUUCAAGACCAGCUGGGCAGGGGCCUGUCCUCAUUGGGCAAAGGUCUUAACGCGGUUUUGGAAGAGGGUCAGAAUAUUUCGCCAACUAUGCGUGAAAAGAUUUUGCCAUUCCUUACGGAAGCUGGACAAAUUUUUUCAAAUUUAUUUUUUUUGACAUUUCUCAGACUAGACGUACCUUAAUUUUACCCAUGUUAAGCAAAUCACUAAAGGAUGUAGUAGAGACUAGGGUUCCAGGGGUGUACUUGUUUGGGAACGAAUUAGCUGAAAAUGUCAAGGAAGCUAAAACAUUGGAAAGAACAGCCAAUGACCUUCGUCCCCAAACGCAGAGUUUUACCUUUUCCGCUUCUGAAAAUGGGGGAGGGGUGGCUACCGGCCGAUCACAGACAUCCAGACCAUACACCAGCCGAGGUGGCUCAUCCGGUCCUUUAAACCGGGGGCGUCCGGUCCGUCCAAGCGGGAAACGAGACCACACAAAGGGCAUGCCCCGACACGGAGGAGUCAAUACCCUCAUCAGAAGCGCUGAUUUCAGAGGCUAAAGUUAUUUUAUAAACAAUGGCAAAAUAUCACCCAAAACCCAUUUUUCUUGUCUUGCAUAAGUGGUUAUGUCAUUCCAUUUAAAUGUACUCCCUCACAGUUUUUGUCUCCGAAAUCAAGGCAUCUUUCUUCAGAGGAACGAAGCCAAAUGGCUAUGGCAAUUGAAGAAUUGCUUAGUAAGGGUGCAGUCAUUAAAUACCAGCCCCAGCCAAUCCAAUUUUUAUCUGGUAUUUUUCUUACCAAUAAAUCUAAUGGUGAAAAACGGUUUAUAUUAAACCUAAAACAACUAAAUCAAUUUAUAACACCUCCUAACUUUAAGAUGGAAGACUAUCGCACAGCCAAAAAAAAAA